ACCAAUCAAUCAAUAUUCUCUUUCUUUCCUAGAUGGAAACACCGCCAUUGAAAUUUCUGUCUUCCUCUUCCACCACUGUUGGUUUUCGUCUACUACCAUUACUGUCGGCUUCCCUCUAUUAGCACCACUACCAUCUUCCAUUUAACAGAAGCUUUGAAAUCAGUUGUAUUCAGGAUUGUGCAUAAGUUGUCGACUCAAACGGCCUAGCUUGGAGAGGAGAUUGAAAGUGCUCAAGGAGACUUCUGCUGAAAUUUGUGUCACUCUUCAUUUGGAGGAAGAUGAACAAAAGCUACAAGACCCUAACAGAUCAGCUACCUUUGAUAAUGCUAAGCUCGGUGUUGAUACACAAAGCUUGUUUGCAGAUUUGAAAGUGGACCAAACGUUAUCUGAAUCUGUGAAAACAAGAAAGAAAUACAGAGAUGUGGCUACAGCUACUUGAGAUGCUUUUGAAUCAGCUACUUACGCAGCUAUGGCAGCAAGGACUGCUACUGAACUCUUAAGGUCUGAAUCACAGGACUAUGAUACAGAUAAUGAUGGUGGUGGUUUCAGUCAUCGACAAGCAACUGGUUUUGAAUCUUACUUGUCACUAGACACCUAAUCUUCAAAAGGGACAAAUUUGCAGUUAUAAAGGAAGAUGAAGGUUCUUGUGAUAGAUUAGAUUUCGACAAAAUGUAGCACAUGGACAACCCUGGCUCCAAAUCUGGAUUCACCAUAAACUCAGAAUUAUCCUAUGGUAAAAGCUAUGCAGAGGAGAAAUAGGAUGACAAACGCAUACAGCUUGAAUUUUAGAAAGCAAUUACAUGAACAACAUUCAAGCACAGGCUGGAAGCAAUUUUCAAUGAGGACUAUACGAACUCAGAAUAUCUAAAAGCUGUUUAGUUUUAAGUGCUAUUAAAAUUCAAUUUGUGCAUAGCCAGAGUUCAUAGUUGGCCCUGUUACUUCAUUAUUUAGUUUAUUUUGUUAUUGUAGUUGUACACCUAGACUUUUGAUUGGAAAUAAAGAGAUGGGCAAUUUUAAGCUGUCAUUUUUAA